AAAAUAAAUAUUUAUAUACUGUAGACAGUAGGUGCUAUUGAGCUUAAUUUCCUGCUUAGGUGUAUUUCAUAGAUGUUAGCCAAUGAAGAAAGCUAAUCAUAUCAAUGAUGCCCCCAUGUCUACAAAGCGUGGGGGCUUUAUUAUACACAUC
rfam:Bacillus solimangrovi strain GH2-4 NODE_23_length_60301_cov_1.44311_ID_2493, whole genome shotgun sequence.